GAUGAAGAACGCAGCGAAAUGCGAUACUUGGUGUGAAUUGCAGAAUCCCGUGAACCAUCGAGUCUUUGAACGCAAGUUGCGCCCGAAGCCAUUAGGCCGAGGGCACGCCUGCCUGGGCGUCACACGUCGUUGCCCCCCCCAUCUACUCCUUCGGGAUUGCGGGGGGCGGAUGAUGGCCUCCCGUGCGCCUCGCCGCGCGGUUGGCAUAAAUGCCAAGUCCUCGGCGACGCACGCCACGACAAUCGGUGGUUGCGAAACCUCGGUUGCCCGUCGUGUGCGGUCGUCGCGCAUCGAGGGCUCGAAAAAAUUGCCGAGUUCCGGCUCGGCUUUCAACGCGACCCCAGGUCAGGCGGGGUUACCCGCUGAAUCUAAGCAUAUCAAUAAGCGGAGGA
rnacentral:misc_RNA from 1 species